ACUAGCUGAGAGGAGGUAAUGUGUUAUUUUGCUCUUCAGUUUUAAACAUUUAUUUCGGUUUUGUAUGAUGCAAACCUUGUUUUAUGCAUGUAUAAAUGAGCUUGAGACCUGUAUAUUGUGUGGAGGAGACUGCAUGUGACAGAGCCUUAUAUUUUUGUUGUUUAUUUGUACAGGUAUGUGUAUAAUGUUCAUUAUAAUUCAUCUGGCAUAGUGUUUACAUUGGUUGUAUUAAGCAUGUAAAAGAAAUUCAUGUUGUCAACUACAUUGAGCAUUUUAUAAUUUAUUCAGUUCAUUUUCACAUUUUUAUUUAAAAGUAUUUUUGCUGAUAAUACUAAGUUUUAUCAGUAUAUGUAUAUGCAGUUUGCGCCAGACUAGCUGAGAGGAGGUAAUGUGUUAUUUUGCUCUUCAGUUUUAAACAUUUAUUUCGGUUUUGUAUGAUGCAAACCUUGUUUUAUGCAUGUAUAAAUGAGCUUGAGACCUGUAUAUUGUGUGGAGGAGACUGCAUGUGACAGAGCCUUAUAUUUUUGUUGUUUAUUUGUACAGGUAUGUGUAUAAUGUUCAUUAUAAUUCAUCUGGCAUAGUGUUUACAUUGGUUGUAUUAAGCAUGUAAAAGAA
rnacentral:lncRNA from 1 species